UACGGAGGGUGCAAGCGUUAUCCGGAUUCACUGGGUUUAAAGGGUGCGUAGGAGGGCAGGGAAGUCCGUGGUGAAAUCCUAGAGCUUAACUCUAGAACUGCCGUGGAUACUCUCUGUCUUGAAUGCCGUGGAGAUGAGCGGAAUAUGUCAUGUAGCGGUGAAAUGCUUAGAUAUGACAUAGAACACCAAUUGCGAAGGCAGCUCGUUACACGAACAUUGACUCUGAGGCACGAAAGCGUGGGGAUCAAAC
rnacentral:rRNA from 1 species